UUGAAUUUAGAAUCUGUGAAGCAAAAAGUGCUAUUGUGAAGUCUUGGUGGAAACACUGUUAAUCCUGUGAUGGGACCUGCCCAACCAGCUAAGCCACUCACCAAUGCCCAGAAGUCCAUGUGUGUCCUUACUUGAGACCACGUAAGAGAUUCACGGCCAAGUGAGCAGCUCAAAGCCCUUAGGAAAUGAAAACACGUGGAUGACUGCCCUGUGAUAUUUUGAUGAUCCUUAUAGUCAGAAGGAUGAAGCAAAUGAUGUCUCCAGAUAAAAUCAAUUUACCCCUAAGAUAUUCAGAAAAAAAUAGGAUUCCAAAGUCAAGAAAUCCAGAGCUACGAAUGGAAAUACUACACAUUUUUCUUUUUAAUUGGUGGUGGUGAGAUGGAGAGACCUCGUGUUAUGUAUGUGAAAUUAAUGAGUGGAAAGUAUGGUGAAGAGAGGGCACACAAAUGGACCAAGCAGUGCUGGAAAACUCAAACUUGGUGUCAGAAACAUACACUGAAAAUUUGACAGCAUAAGAUGUGCAAAAUUUUUGGCCCUUCUAUCAAUGCCAGAAAAGAUUUUAUUUUGAAAGUGUUCCCAGGAUGAACAUUUUAUAUAACACAUGACGCAUGCAGAGAACGCAGACGUUGGAUUAAAGAGUCAUAAGUUCAAACACCACAGCUCCAGACUUACUAGCCAUGUUCCCUUAAAUCCGUUUUCAACUUCUUUCAUUGUCACCUGUAAAAUGCUUUG
rnacentral:lncRNA from 1 species